rnacentral:rRNA from 1 species
AACGAACGCUGGCGGCAUGCCUAACACAUGCAAGUCGAACGAGACCUUCGGGUCUAGUGGCGCACGGGUGCGUAACGCGUGGGAAUCUGCCCUUAGGUUCGGAAUAACUUCGGGAAACUGAAGCUAAUACCGGAUGAUGACGUAAGUCCAAAGAUUUAUCGCCUAAGGAUGAGCCCGCGUUGGAUUAGCUAGUUGGUGAGGUAAAGGCUCACCAAGGCGACGAUCCAUAGCUGGUCUGAGAGGAUGAUCAGCCACACUGGGACUGAGACACGGCCCAGACUCCUACGGGAGGCAGCAGUGGGAAUAUUGGACAAUGGGCGAAAGCCUGAUCCAGCAAUGCCGCGUGAGUGAUGAAGGCCUUAGGGUUGUAAAGCUCUUUUACCCGGGAUGAUAAUGACAGUACCGGGAGAAUAAGCUCCGGCUAACUCCGUGCCAGCAGCCGCGGUAAUGUGACUACUG